GCCCAUUGAGUUCUCCAACCAUGUCCCAGGCGCUUCUUCUCUUUAUAGUCUUGAUCUCUGUUGGCCCCAGCCUUCAACAACUGCAGACCUUGAAGGACCCAGAAUUUGUUGCAGUUGGACGAACAGUCACCAUAUCUUGUCGAUACGAUGGUGGAAAUCUUGGGGAUAGCAACCAACCUUGGUGGUCACAGCAGAUACCUGGGAAUAAACCUCAAAUUCUGAUCCAUUCGACCAGUUCCAGACCAUCAGGAAUUCCAGAACGUUUCUCUGGGUCCAGAUCAGGGAAUGUGAUGUCCUUGACUAUCGCUGGAGCUCUGGUUGAAGAUGAAGCCACCUAUUAUUGUUGUAUCUGGACGGGUAGUCAGUCCCACAGUGAUUCUUUCAGAUACUUUUUUGUGUAA